AUUGUACAUGCAUGUUAUAUAGAAAUUCCAAAAUCAUCCUUGUCAACAAAACAUGUUAUUUGAUCCUCUUACAGACUGCAAAGGUAUGUCUCAUGCUCUAAAGAUUGCCAACCAUCUUAUGCUUGUACUCAUCAUCGACUGCUAUAUAUGUUAUAAGGCACGAUAACAAAUUGUGCUUCAUCACCUCUUGAAAAUCUCACAACCUCCAAUCCUUGAUGCACUAAAUCGACUUUCACCACGACCAUUUCUGUUCCCUCGCCACCCCUGCUCGGAUGAAGAGGUGACUGAAAAGAAAAUGAUAUAAGUACAUCAAACAAUCAGAUCAGGGGUGUUGACAAUCCAGAAAUGCCAUAAGUCAUACUGGUGUACAUGAAUAACCAAAUGGCAUAUACAAUUGUCCUGAAGAGGGUAAAUAGAAAGUUUAACCAAAGUAAUCUUACAACCUCAUAUUAGAGGUUAGAUAUCUUUCACGGCGAUUACGGAAUGAACACUCUUACAGUAAAGCGAGUCAGUGGUGACAACGGGAGGCACACGCGUAGUCGGCGACAACUGCGCGGAUGAGAGGGUAGGACAGGGGGACUUAGUUUGUGGUCCUGUAGCUACACGAUGGAAGAAGUAAAAAAUCAGUGUAAGGGUGUAUGUAAGAUCUCACAUCUGUAAGUACUCAACCGUUUUUUGUGCGUCCACACUCUGCAAGGGUGGAUCUAGUUGAGAGUUUAAAAGCAAGGUGCAUAUAUUCAGAUUUUUUUUAAAUGUUUUGGUAUGUUUUAUUGCGUGGGUGCACCAAGGUGGGGUUCAGCCACUACUUUCCCUAUAUUCAAAUGUAAGUCAUAUUGGCACACAUGCAGCUCUACAUCUACACUGAAGUCUGAAUUUGAAAAAAAUUGAAAUAGAUAGUAGUGUCUACACUCUUCAUGUAGAUCACAAUAUCACAUUAUAAUCCUCUACAAUGGUUACAUGUAAAGCAAAUUUGGAGGCAUAUACAACUAAAAAGUAAAUCAUUGUAUCAUGGAAAUGACAUACUAAUAUGGACCAUGGAAUAAAAUACUAUUGGAAGGCAUGUCUGCAAGGAUUGUUUAGAAACUUGAUCACUGUAUCAUGAAAAUGAUAUUGCAAGAGCUGACCUUUCCCUUGUGCACAUUCCCAUGCUUUGACUAAAAUAGAGCAUUUGCAGUUCCUGCUUGGAUGCUCACUUUCUUUCUGUUUACUCACUUUCUUUCUGUUUACUCACUUCAUAUGCUAUCCCCCGAUCAAAUCAACAGCUAGCCAACCAGCUCUACUUUUGCAGUUUGCAUUCAACACUCCAAAGGGAAAAUUAGAGGCCACCCAUGGCUUCAAGGAUGAGGUAGUAACAGCAAGGUCGAUGAGUAGCGAGAGCGCACCAGACACGGCCGCCCCAGCCCCUCCUCGACGGCACCGCGGAGAUUGAGCCGCUACCGCACAGGGAGAGCCUAAGGAGCCGGUCAAGGAGACAGUACUGACACACGUCGUUGUAGACACAAGGAGAUAGUACGGUCACACUUCAUCCUCCAUUAACUCUAACAUGAGCAUGUAGGCGCCUGCUACAGAAAACGGGCGUGUAAAAAUCCGCACGAGGAUGCAAAGAAAAUGGACAGUAAGGGGCCUUCUUUGUCAAAAAUGGUGCAUCUAGUUGGUUAACAAACUGCAGCUCAAAGAAAAAAAAUCAAUUACUUGGUAAAAAUGUCCCGAUAAUUCCUGGCAAGAAGCUAUGUUGCAACAAAGAUUAAUCUUAAAUUACCAAUCACCUCCAAGCAUGUUCUUACGUCCAGCCAAAGCCAUGACACCUUCAUCAGGAAAUAAUAUAUUUCAAACAUGAGUACAUGACUCACGUAGCUAGUUCCAUAUACAUACCCUGGGUGUAUACACUAAAGCAAUUUCAGGCGACAGUGUGAUGCUAUCCAUUAGUGAAGCCCCAUGAAUCGUCCAUUUAUUUAUUCACUCAAGGCAUUUAUAUCUUCCCCCAUUCUCCUAUCAUCUAUAUUCUCACCUGCAAAGACAUCAGACAAUCAAUAAUGUCGAAGAGCCAUCGUUAUUUUUAACUACUUAAGGGCAGCCAGCCAUAGGAACGUAGCAGGUACUGAACCAAAUAAUAACAACGAGAUAUAAAGGAUUUUGAAUUUUAAACCACAGUCUAUGAAGAGCAUCUAUAUAGCAAACAAAUAUGAACUUUCACAACAAUAAGGAACGACAAGUAAUUACUUUGCUCCCUUAAUAGUUGAUACUGGUAUGCACCCAUAUGAUCUUUCUGAAAUUAGUACCUUCAAUGGACCAAUAUUAGUAUUAUCAGAGGGCCAAUAUCUACUCCAACAUGAAAAACAAAUCGUGGUGUAAAAAGAGAUAUACAGCUAGUCCAACUUAUUCAAGAGAUUAACAAAGAAAGAAAAUCUCCGCAAUUAGAGUAUAUAGCUUCCGUCUGAAGAUAUGGACAUGCUUUGGUAUUUGUUAAAUAAGUAAGCAAUAUCAAACUUGAGGUUUCUUCAUGGAGCUGAAAUCACUCACAAACUCAGUUAAGGAGGGAGAUAUCAAAACAGAAAUGCUAAUUACUCUGUCAUAUGGAAAUAGAAAUACAUCAGAGAGCAGUCACUGGAAAAUCAGACGGGAAAAUCAGGGAGCACACAUAGUCUAACAGUUGGUAUCAAAGCUACAACUUAUCAUAGUUGGAAUUCCUUUUUCAUAUAAACCUUGCAGAUCACAAACUUAUGACCUGAGCAUGUAAAAGGAUAUAUUUCAACUGAAAGGGAGACAACAACAGGGGGCUUUUUUUAACCUUGGUGCUGCAUGGUGGUCUCCCAGGAGGACGCAAAUGAAGGGCUCGGCGGUGUCACAUGGACGCUGUGAACCGGUAGAAGAACAGUAGCCUCAUGUGCAUCCCAGUUGCCGCCACGCCGCCACGUGCUUGUAC
rnacentral:lncRNA from 1 species